rnacentral:rRNA from 1 species
UAAGGAAUAUUGGUCAAUGGACGCAAGUCUGAACCAGCCAUGCCGCGUGAAGGAUGAAGGUCCUCUGGAUUGUAAACUUCUUUUAUGUGGGAAGAAACCACUCUUAUCUAAGGGUGUUGACGGUACCAUAGGAAUAAGCACCGGCUAACUCCGUGCCAGCAGCCGCGGUAAUACGGAGGGUGCAAGCGUUAUCCGGAUUCACUGGGUUUAAAGGGUGCGUAGGCGGGUCAGUAAGUCCGUGGUGAAAUCUCCAAGCUUAACUUGGAAACUGCCGUGGAUACUAUUGACCUUGAAUGUUGUGGAGGUUAGCGGAAUAUGUCAUGUAGCGGUGAAAUGCUUAGAUAUGACAUAGAACACCAAUUGCGAAGGCAGCUGGCUACACAAAUAUUGACGCUGAGGCACGAAAGCGUGGGGAUCAAACA